rnacentral:rRNA from 1 species
GCUUAACUUGGCGAAAAUGCGCGUGAGUGACGAAGGUUUUCGGAUCGUAAAGCUCUGUUGUGAGGGAAGAACACGUACGGGAGUAACUGCGCGUGCCUUGACGGUACCUUAUUAAAAAGCCACGGUUAAUUACGGGCCACCAGCCGGGGAAAUACGUAGGGGGCAAGGGUUGUCCGGAAUUAUGGGGCGUAAAGCGGGCGCAGGCGGUUCUUUAAGUCUGAUGUGAAAGCCCACGGUUCACCCGGGAAGGGUCAUUGAAAACUGGAGAAUUUGAGGACAAAAAAGGAAAGGGAAAUUCCCCGGGUAGGGGGGAAAUGCGUAAAGAUGUGAAGAAACACCAGGGGCAAAGGCGGUUUUCUGGUUUGUAAUUGACGCUGAGGCGCGAAAGCGGGGGAAGCAAACAGGAUUAAAUACCCGGGAAGCCCCCGCCGAAAACAAUGAGGGCUAAGGGUUAGGGGGUUUCCGCCCCUUAGGGCUGCAGUUAACGCAUUAAGCACUCGGCUGGGGGAGUACGGCCGCAGGGUGGAAACUCAAAGAAAUUGACGGGGACCCGCACAAGCGGUGAAGCAUGUGGUUUAAUCCGAAGCAACGCGAAGAACCUUACCAGGUCUUGACAUCCCACUGCCCGGUAUAAAGAUACGCUUUUCCCUUCGGGAACAGUGGUGACAGGUGGUGCAUGGUUGUCGCCAGCUCGUGUCGG